AGUGAACGCUGGCGGUAGGCCUAACACAUGCAAGUCGAACGGCAGCACAGUAAGAGCUUGCUCUUACGGGUGGCGAGUGGCGGACGGGUGAGGAAUACAUCGGAAUCUACUUUUUCGUGGGGGAUAACGUAGGGAAACUUACGCUAAUACCGCAUACGACCUACGGGUGAAAGCAGGGGAUCUUCGGACCUUGCGCGAUUGAAUGAGCCGAUGUCGGAUUAGCUAGUUGGCGGGGUAAAGGCCCACCAAGGCGACGAUCCGUAGCUGGUCUGAGAGGAUGAUCAGCCACACUGGAACGGAGACACGGCACAGACCCCCACGGGAGGAAGCAGGGGGGAAUAGUGGAAAAGGGGGGCAAGCCUGAUCCAGCCAUCCCGGGGGGGUGAAGAAGGCCUUCGGGUUGUAAACCCUUUUUGUGGGGAAAAAAAAGCAGCAGGUUAAUACCCCGCUGUUCUGGCGGUACCCAAAGAAAAAGCACCGGCUAACUUCGU
rnacentral:rRNA from 1 species